GGCUUUGAGGUUCUGGAACAUUGGCUCAGUAUUAGCGGGUCGGGUUCGGGUUGACAAUCUUCUGACCCGCCCAUUCCAAGCAAGGAGUUGAACCAUGUGGCUCGAGCGAAGGCUCUGGGUCUCUUGGUUCCUAGAGAGGAGGAAACCGCGUAAGGCUGGCUUCACAGAGCAACGAUUACCUCCCGCUCUUGGCAGUGGAAGGAUAACGGGUCGGUGUCACUCGGAUCCACCAUGGCCCGCUAGACUGUCCCAAUUGGACCAAACCUUUUUGCGGUUUUCUUCCUCAGAUUUGGGAAGCUACAAUGCCAAAAUCGAAGUCUGAGAUGGAGGACAAAAGUGACUCCAACACUGCAAGAGUGACUGCUUCUACUUCUCUCAACUUCUCAUGAUCCUUGUUGACGGAAGAGAAAGCGAAUUUGUUUGCUAUUGCCUUCAAACUACCCACAGCCUUGUUGAUUGUCUUUUUCACCAUCUUCCUAGAGGAUGACAUCCUUGGCACUGCUGCAAACAUCCAAGAGUCUGAGAGAGGCUUCUAAUAUAUCAUUAGCCCAUUUCUCAUUCUGCUCUUGGGCUAAGGCCUGUUGAGUGAGGGGCAACUGAAGCAACCUAUCAACACAAUCAUGCAAUUCUUGGAGGCCACUUAAUUUGUGGCUUAUUGAUGAUGAUGAAGACGUGGAGGCGGCCUCAGAAGACCUCAAGCUACACAAAUGUUCUUCAACUUCUUGAAUGAUUGGGUGUGGCCUUGAAGGGAAGCUGUUGGAGCGAUGUAGGUUGCGGAGGGGGACAUGGAAUCUCAUCCACUACAAUCAUCAGUGAGAGGUCCUUGACAUGAUUGUUAAGCAAGCAGCAAGCCUGAUCUAUAAUUUUAAGGCUUUCCAAAUCAUUGUAUUGCAUGAAGCAAGUAAGCCAUAUGAUCAUAGACUUAAUCCCUUUUUUAGUCUCCAAUUGUCCCCCUAACCGAGACAGUCAGCAUAUGUUUACUGCUGAAGUAUGUGCGAAUCAAGUCCUCCAUUUCAUGCCAUUGAUUGUUGAUUAUUUAUUCUCUUUCUUGAGACAAUUGGAAUCUUGACAGCCUCGACAUUUGAUAUAAUUGGCUUAAAUCCCA